CCUGACCUGAGCUCUGUGAGCUGAUUCCACCAGUGACUGAGCACAGACCACCACCAUGGAGCUGGGGCUGCGCUGGGUUCUCCUUGUUGCUCUGUUGAAAGGUGUGCAGUGUGAGGUGCAGCUGGUAGAGUCUGGGGGAGGCUUGGUACAGCAUGGGGGGUCCCUGAGACUCUCCUGUACAGCCUCUGGAUUCGACUUCAGUGAUUACUACAUGCACUGGAUCCGCCAGGCUCCAGGGAAGGGGCUGGAGUGGGUUGCACAAAUUAAUCCAAAUAGUGGAAGCACAUGGUAUGCAGACUCUGUGAAUGGCCGGUUCACCAUCUCCAGUGACAACAGUAAAAGCACGCUGUACCUGCAAAUGAGCAGCCUGAGAACCGAGGACACGGCCCUGUAUUACUGUGCAAGAGACACAGUGAGAGGAGCCCUGUGGGAGCCCAGACACAAACAUGCACACAGCCUGAGGCCAGCAAGGGGCGCUGAGCCCUCGUCAGCUGCAGGUGUGGCUCAGCACAGAGACUCCAGGCUUCCUGCUGAGCACAGACUGGGCCCGGCUGUGGGAGUGGUGACCGCAGACUCCCGGAGCUCGCGCUGA